GCAUUUCCCAGUCUUCGUAACCCAGGAGGAAGCCCACGGCGUCCUGCACCGGCGCCGGCGCGCCAACGCGUUCCUGGAGGAGCUGCGGCCGGGCUCCCUGGAGAGGGAGUGCAAGGAGGAGCAGUGCUCCUUCGAGGAGGCCCGGGAGAUCUUCAAGGACGCGGAGAGGACGAAGCUGUUCUGGAUUUCUUACAGUGAUGGGGACCAGUGUGCCUCAAGUCCAUGCCAGAAUGGGGGCUCCUGCAAGGACCAGCUCCAGUCCUAUAUCUGCUUCUGCCUCCCUGCCUUCGAGGGCCGGAACUGUGAGACGCAAUGACGUGUGACGAGACGUGGGAAGUACUGCCAACUUGGGAAGCUCUACGAGCCCCGGUGUCCAGAGGUUUUAUCAGGGCUCAAUCACAUAGACCCAGCUGACCACCCGCAUGGCUGACCUCAGUCUCAGCCCCUCCAGAGGCUACGCCGAUAGUGCGGCCCAAGGCCCCACCAUACAUCACAUUGUCAGCUAGACCAUCCAGCAUGGCUCAAGGCCCAGCAGUUCAUCCUUGACCACCCAAGACC
rnacentral:lncRNA from 10 species